GACAUUUUGUUAGAAAAAAAAGUGUGGCAUGCUGAAGAGUAUAAAGAUGCAGUGACACUGUGUGUGGUAUGCCCUUUUGAAUGUUUUUUUUUCUUUCAACAGUCCAUUUUCUUGUCCUUGGGGAAUUGGCAAAGAGGUGCUAAAAGCCACUGCUGUGUUGACGAGUUGUGCUUCUUCCCUGGAAGAGGUUACCUCCAUUAUAAACUGAUGUAUUUCCUGGCAGUAAGGUCAAGACUGAGAAGACUGAGGAUUGUACAGUGAGCCAGCAGGGAAACCCCUGGAAAUGUCGAUAUUCUAAAAAAAAAAGGAACACAAGCAGCUGGAGGAUCUACUCAUAGAUCGGCACAACUGUAAGUAAAAAAAUCCACAUGAAAAAUAAAUAAAGACUGUUGCUCAGUAGUACACUAGUGACCAGUGUUGGGAACAUUGCU